UUUGAUACACUUUUAAAUUUGGGUUUUUGUAAAAGUGCUAAUAACAACGCUCGUUGUUUGAAGAUGUGAUUUCUUUCACGGUUUCAGAGUUAGCCAUAAAACGUUUGUGUUGUAGGAUGUAGUUCGAUGUUAGCAUGCUAGCUGCUAACGGCUGAAGCUUCCUCUCAUUUGAAAAAAUAAAAGGAGAAUAACAUCCGGGGUUUCAAAGUGAUCAAGUACAAAAACAAGCCGUUUUCUAACUAUGACGGGCGUCUGGAGCGCUGCAGCUUGUAAGCGACACGGCGGAAGCUGGAUGAACGGCUGGUUUGAAGCGAGGCUAAGUGGCGGAGGGAGCCCACAUCAGAGCAGGCCUUUCCGGAGCUGCAGGGGGAAAAAUCCGCCUCCUGCAGCCGAGCCUCCUCGCAUCCGCUAAAACGAACAAACCCGCAACCGGAGCCACAACGACCGGCGGCGGCGGAGGGGAUGCGGUCGAAGCCGGACGCCAUCCUCCAGCAGACGGACGGACACCGGAAACCGCCACGCAGCGACCCGCUGCCGCUGUACUGCAGCAGCUACAGCCGCUUCAUGUCGGAGGAGAGCCUGCAAGUGGCUAAAAAGGAGCUCCGGCGGCAAUAAUCGCCUUUCAGCUUCCGUAAAAUUGCUUUCAAACUCGCACAAAGGCGAACUGGAGCUGGUGAAAAUAAUACGAGGUGCAGUUCCAGCUUUUGAACACCAGGGGUCGCUGUAUUGCCCAAUGUAACCGCAACCAAGUUAAAAACGACUCAGUUGUUUUAAAGUCCUGCUGCUUUUUUCCUGUUUGUAAACCAAUAACAAAGUUUAACUUCUCAAGAUGGUUACAAUUCCUCAUUUUCAGAUUUUAGUUAUUUUUCGUGGAGAAGUUCUCAUGAAGUUAAUACUUAAUUUUCCUACAACUUUAUUCUGGUAAUAUUACGAAAUUAUACUGUUGAUAUGUGUUGAUAUGUCCCAAAGACUUUAUUGUGUUAUUACAAUAAAGUCUUUAUUGGGGGAAUCUGUUCAUAUGAUUCCCCCAAUAAAAUUAUAGCUCUAUUAUUGUAUUAUAACAAAUUUAUUAUGGCCAAAUGAUGACAUUAUUCUAGUAUUAUUCCAACUUUAUUCUAAAAUUGCUAAAAUUACGACUUUAUUCUGGUGAGAUUACAGCUUUACUCUGAUAAAAUUAUAACUUCUCAUAUUUUCACGACUGUCGGUAAAAUUAUAAAUGUAUUCUGGCAUUA